GUGGUCCACAUUGUGUCUCAACCUCAAAAAUUCUGUGACUCCUUACUAGGACUGCUUUGAUCAAAGUUUUGAUGAAUUGAAACACAAUGAUGCAUCAUCUCCAAUUUUACUUGGAGCGGUCAAUCUCAUCUUGACUCGCACUCAGACUUCACAAGUAUUUGACUGUACCCAGAAACCUUUUGUCAUCGAAUUAAAAAUUCGAGUAGUCCGACAUCAAAGUACAGUGAGUUGUUUGUAAGUCACCGAGACAGCCUC
rnacentral:lncRNA from 1 species